AGUUUCAUUGUUCUUCAAGAACCAAUAAAAUAGCAGCUGUUAUGUAAUAAUGUAUUCACAGACAACUGAUGGCUAGUGUUGUAUGUGCACGUCAACUG
ensembl:ncRNA F01D4.12 ncRNA